GAUGAACGCUGGCGGCGUGCCUAAUACAUGCAAGUCGAGCGAACAGACGAGGAGCUUGCUCCUUUGACGUUAGCGGCGGACGGGUGAGUAACACGUAGGUAACCUACCUAUAAGACUGGGAUAACUUCGGGAAACCGGAGCUAAUACCGGAUAAUAUUUCGAACCGCAUGGUUCGAUAGUGAAAGAUGGCUUUGCUAUCACUUAUAGAUGGACCUGCGCCGUAUUAGCUAGUUGGUAAGGUAACGGCUUACCAAGGCAACGAUACGUAGCCGACCUGAGAGGGUGAUCGGCCACACUGGAACUGAGACACGGUCCAGACUCCUACGGGAGGCAGCAGUAGGGAAUCUUCCGCAGUGGGCGAAAGCCUGACGGAGCAACGCCGCGUGAGUGAUGAAGGUCUUCUGAUCGUAAAACUCUGUUAUUAGGGAAGAACAAACGUGUAAGUAACUGUGCACGUCUUGACGGUACCUAAUCAGAAAGCCACGGCUAACUACGUG
rnacentral:rRNA from 1 species